rnacentral:rRNA from 1 species
AUCAGGGCCAUGCUACCUUGAACAAGCCCAAUCCCAUCUGAUCUCAGAAGCUAAGCAGGGUCGGCCUUGGUUAGUAUUUGGAUGGGAGACCACCUAGGAAGACCAGGUGCUGUAGAUU